UGCAAGUACCGUCAGCCUGAGGUUGAAUGCUUGGCUGGAGGAAUUCAAAGCUUAUGCCGACAGUCAAGGGCUCUUUCUUGAUUAGAGUACGCCGGGGCAGAAAUGGAGAGUGUUGUUUCUUUUCACCGCGGGGCCAGCAGUUCGAGAAAUGUUUAAAACACUCACUGAUACCGGAAUGAAGGAAGAUUAUAAGAAAGCCAUUGGUGAUUAAAACAGUCAUUAUGUGGUGGUGCCAAAUGCUACAUUUCAACACCAUUUACUCUGUAAUACAAUGCAGGAAGAGGGUGAGACUGUUGCUCAAUUUGUGACGGGACUCAGACAGGUGUCUGUAGGAUGCAAAUAUGUGGCUGAUGAUAUGGAAAACCAGGUAUUGGAUCAGGUUGUCCAGCAUUGCAAGCCAGACAAGCUCAGGAGAA